rnacentral:rRNA from 1 species
AUUGAACGCUGGCGGCAUGCCUUACACAUGCAAGUCGAACGGUAACGGGCCUUCGGGUGCCGCCGAGUGGCGAACGGGUGAGUAAUACAUCGGAACGUGCCCGAUCGUGGGGGAUAACGAGGCGAAAGCUUUGCUAAUACCGCAUACGAUCUACGGAUGAAAGCAGGGGACCGCAAGGCCCUGCGCGGACGGAGCGGCCGAUGGCAGAUUAGGUAGUUGGUGGGAUAAAAGCUUACCAAGCCGACGACCUGUAGCUGGUCUGAGAGGAUGAUCAGCCACACUGGGACUGAGACACGGCCCAGACUCCUACGGGAGGCAGCAGUGGGGAAUUUUGGACAAUGGGCGCAAGCCUGAUCCAGCCAUGCCGCGUGCAGGAUGAAGGCCUUCGGGUUGUAAACUGCUUUUGUACGGAACGAAAAGCCUUCUUUUAAUACAGGAGGGUCAUGACGGUACCGUAAGAAUAAGCACCGGCUAACUACGUG